rnacentral:rRNA from 1 species
CAGUCGCGCGGUAAUACGAAGGGUGCAAGCGUUACUCGGAAUUACUGGGCGUAAAGCGUGCGUAGGUGGUGGUUUAAGUCCGUUGUGAAAGCCCUGGGCUCAACCUGGGAAUUGCAGUGGAUACUGGGUCACUAGAGUGUGGUAGAGGAUAGUGGAAUUUCCGGUGUAGCAGUGAAAUGCGUAGAGAUCGGAAGGAACAUCUGUGGCGAAGGCGACUAUCUGGGCCAACACUGACACUGAGGCACGAAAGCGUGGGGAGCAAACAGGAUUAGAUACCCGAGUAGUCCCUGUCUCUUAUACC